rnacentral:sRNA from 1 species
GCCAGGUGCGGUAGUGCACGUCUGUAAUCCCAGCAGCUGGGGAGGCUGAGGCAGAAGGAUCAUGAGUUCAAGGCCAGUCUCAGCAACUUAGUGAGACCCCGUCUCUA